rnacentral:tRNA from 1 species
GGGCCCAUGGUUCAAUGGUAGAACACUGGUUUUGCAUACCAGAGAUCGGAGUUCGAUUCUCCGUGGGUCCACCA